AAAAAUAAUCACGCAAUCAAGUGAAAUCUAGAUAAAAUAAUAUCCUGGUACUCAUUAGUCAUAAUUGUGAUACUAUAGAGACAACACGUCAGAUAGUAAUUGAACAAUGGGUUACACAAAUUUUCAAAAAUUUAAUUUAAAUAAAAAUGAUUACAUGUGCUAUCGACUUUUUUUGUUCAUUCAAUGCAGUUUUUUUAAAUUACUUGGACUAUCGCCCUGGACGACAGAUACUUCAGGAAUUUUCCGAAGUAAAAAUAAAAAUAAUAUAUGUAGAGUUUCUUACGCCGGAAUUUGUUACAACAUUGUAUUUUUUUUAUUAAACAUUUCAUUUGCGCCUUACGGAUUAUUUUAUGAACUAUCAAAUAAAACUUAUCAAGGCUCGAAUUCAACUAUAAUGCUAGUGAAAAUGCUGUUCAUAGCGUUACUGUCUACAAUUUUGAUUCCCUUUAUAUAUAUCAUCAGGCAGAAGAUCAUGAUAAAGGUCAUCAAUAAAUUAAAAAACGUGGACGAAAUUUUGGACAAGUGUUCAGAUUAUAAAUUGAAAAAUGACUGUGUCAACAAUAUAUUAUUUACUGUUAACUUAUUUAUGGUCAUUAACUUCAUAAUAGUGUGGGACCUGAUAUACUAUCCCGCGAUAACGAUAUCUUUCGGCAAUAUUCCUACUGUAUUGAGUAGUGGGGUGAUGAUACAAUACGCGAUGCAACUCAAUAGGAUCGACAAAAGAUUUGAGAGCAUUAACUUGGCUAUUUACAAACUGGGCUACUCGAAAUUAGGCGGCGCUCAAGUUCAAAUAUCAUCUGUAGCACAGUUAGUACUUUCACGUGAAUCUGUUCUUUACGAUAUUGAGAAUAUUAAAUCUGCUUAUGUUAAAUUGUGUAAAAUAUGUGAAGAUAUGGCUGACUUUUAUGGGGUGCCUGUUUUGAUUGCCAUUAUUUGCUGCGGAUUUAGGAGUGUUAUGACUCUUAAUCGCCUUGUUUUUAAGUUCACUCAAUUGGAAGCAAUAGAUAUUGUAUUGCCCGUACCGGUAUCUCGGAUGAUAUGCUUAAUUUUUUUAUUCACGGUGAUAACGUCUAGCGUCACUGCUAUUACGAAACAGAAUAGAAAAUUGGCAAAGAUACUAAUCACGCUUACGGACGAAUGUACUAUGGAUGAGAAUAUUGAAAAAAAAUUGGAUUAUUUCUCAAGUGAUCUCUGGCCUUUGAAGCUCGAACUGACUGCAUGUGAUAUUCUGCCUCUAGAUCGUUCUCUCUUGGCCACAAUUACCGGCACGAUUGCAAUUUAUCUCGUUAUUGGCGUGCAAUUUUCUAUUGAUACACAUUCUCAUUAAUUACAUCUAACAAUAGAGUUUUCAUGAGUGUGCAAAUGCUCUUUUUUUCUGAUUCAACAACUGAAUACGAUCGAAUUAAACAGAAUUAAAUUUUUAAUUCUAUUUAAUUCAGAUAAAUUCUGUUAAUUCGGUACCUAACUUAAUAAUGAAUUCUGUUUAAUUCGGCAGGAAAACAAGAAUUUGUCCGAAUUAAAAAGAAUUUAAAUAAUUCUAUUCGGUCUAAUUCUGAUCAAUUCGAAAAUAAUUCUCCAAUUUCUGGUUCUGAAUCCGAAUUAAAACGAAUUUGAAAUUUUUAAAUCGGUUUUAUUCCUUUUAAUUCAAAUUCAAAUUUUCAAUUCAGUUGAAUUCUGUUCUGCAGAAUUUGACAGAAUUAAACUUUUAAUUCUAUUUAAUUUAGAUAAAUUCUGUUAGUUCGGUACCUAACUUAAUAAUGAAUUCUGUUUAAUUCGGCAGGAAAACAAGAAUUUGUCCGAAUUAAAAAGAAUUUAAAUAAUUCUAUUCGGUUUAAUUCUGAUUAAUUCGAAAACAAUUCUCCAAUUUCUGGUUCUGAAUCCGAAUUAAACUGAAUUAAAACGAAUUUAAAAUUUUUAAACCAGUUUUAUUCUGUUUAAUUCAAAUUCAAAUUUUCAAUUCAGUUGAAUUCUGUUUUGCAGAAUUUGACAGAAUUAAACUUUUAAUUCUAUUUAAUUUAGAUAAAUUCUGUUAAUUCGGUACCUAACUUAAUAAUUAAUUCUGUUUAAUUCGGCAGGAAAACAAGAAUUUGUCCGAAUUAAAAAGAAUUUAAAUAAUUCUAUUCGGUCUAAUUCUGAUCAAUUCGAAAAUAAUUCUCCAAUUUUUGGUUCUGAAUCCGAAUUAAAACGAAUAUGAAAUUUUUAAAUCGGUUUUAUUCCUUUUAAUUCAAAUUCAAAUUUUCAAUUCAGUUGAAUUCUGUUCUGCAGAAUUUGACAGAAUUCAACUUUUAAUUUAGAUAAAUUCUGUUAAUUCGGUACCUAACUUAAAAAUGAAUUCUGUUUAAUUCGGCAGGAAAACAAGAAUUUGUCCGAAUUAAAACGAAUUUAAAUAAUUCUAUUCGGUUUAAUUCUAAUUAAUUUGAAAAUAAUUCUCCAAUUUUUGCUUCUGAAUCCGAAUUAAACUGAAUUAAAACGAAUUUGAAAUUCUUAAAUCGGUUUUAUUCUGUUUAAUUCAAAUUCAAAUUUUCAAUUCAGUUGAAUUCUGUUUAGCAGAAUUCGACAGAAUUAAACAAAAUUAAAUUUUUAAUUCUAUUUAAUUCAGAUAAAUUCUGUUAAUUCGGAAGGAAAGCCAGAAUUUGUCCAAAUUAAAACGAAUUCAAAUAAUUCUAUGCGGUUUAAUUCUGAUCAAUUCGAAAAUAAUUCUUCAAUUUCUGGUUCUGAAUCCGAAUUAAACUGAAUUAAAACGAAUUUGAAAUUUUUAAAUCGGUUUUAUUCCUUUUAACUCAAAUUCAAAUUUUCAAUUCAGUUGAAUUCUGUUCUGCAGAAUUCGACAGAAUAUAACAGAAUUAAAAUUUUUAAUUCGUUCGAAUUCAGUUGCAUAAUCAGGAUUUAAAAUUCACUACUCACCAUUAAAGCAGACAAUUUUCGAUACUAAAUAUUCAUCCGACUAACUCUAGUAGCAUUUCUAAAGAAAUGUUCGAAAUUCGAAUCUUAAAAUAGUAAGCAAGUCCACAUGAUCAGUCUUGCAGAUGUCUAGAGCAAAAUGUCUCUAGUAAAUCUGUUGUAAAACUUGGCUAAGAAACUUAAGCAAAAUCUACACUAUGACCUUGAAAAUGGAUCCCAUUAUAAUUUCCAUAAAUAUAUUAAUGCAAAUGAAAUAAUAAUGCAUUUAUAAUCACGCUAUAAUGAAAGCUAUACAUCAAAUCGGAAAAAAUUAUCGUGGCGCUAAUUAGUCAGUAUUGCGAUACCGUCACGUAAACACGUCAGUUUUCGGAAUAUUUCAGAUAGAAGAAGUAUCGUAAAAAAAUGGAGCCGAUAUAUUUUAUCAAUCGGGAAACAAAAAAAAUUAAUAAUCAAGAAAAUUCGGUCUACUAUAGGUGUUUUAUGUUCAUCCAACACAUUUUAUUUAAAAUAACCGGAAUAUCGCCUUGGACUAUGGACACUUCUGUAAUAUUCCGUAAUAAUAAAGAUUUUGAGAACAAUAAUUUUCACUGUAGUUUUUCAUAUUCUGGGUCUUGUUACAAUAUUAUAUUAUCUGCAUUCAUCGUUUUCUUGACUUUUUAUGAUAUUUCAUAUAAUUCAUCAUCGCAAAUUAAUUCUGACAAAAUGUUAGAGUCGAUAACAGCAAAAGUUGAGUAUAGCUCAUUACUAUUCGCGAGUUUAAUACCAAUAAUUUACAUUAUUCGUCAAAAAUUAUUAAUUAAUGUUAAUAAUAUGUUUAAAAUUAUCGAUAAUAAAUUAAACAGUUGUGCGGAUUAUGAAACAGAAAAUAAUUACACAAAUUAUUUUGUAUUUAUUUUAAAUGUUAUUGUAACGAGUGGCAUAAUAACAUUACGAAUAAUGACAUUUGAAUCACUGACAGUGCUGUUUGUCAGAAAUUCCGCUUACUUUAUUAGCAGCUGGGUGACGAUACAGUACGUAUUGCUGCUAAAUAUGAUAUACAAACGAUUCAAAGGUAUCAAUUCGACACUCUCGAAAUUGGGUACCAAUAGGAGCGUAAUAUCACGUUCACAUGAAUCAGUUAUUGACGAUAUCAAUAAAAUUAAAUUUGCUUAUUUAAAAUUAUCUGACAUGUGCGAAGAUACGGAAACUUUUUACGGACUGUCUAUUUUGAUAUCAAUUUUUAUUUUAGCUGUCAAAAGUAUAUUUAUGUUGUAUCAAAUUAUUUUAAUAAGUCUUCAUGUUCAUGCAAUUGACGACAAUACGUAUUUGUUUAUUAUAUUUUUAUUACGCAAUGUAUCUCUAUAUAUGAUAUUGACUACCAAUGUCACGAAAAUAAUGAAGCAGAACAAAGAUACGUCAAAAAUAAUAAACUUGCUCAGAGAUCGAUAUUCAAUGGAUGAAAGAAUCGAAAAAAAAUUGACGAAAUUUUCGGUAAAUCUCUUGCAUCUGAGAGUCGAAUUCACCGCCUGUGAUAUUAUACCACUAGACAGAACUCUCUUAGCAAUCAUCACUGGAACAACUGCGACGUAUCUCAUUAUCGUUGUACAAUUUUAUAUAAAUGAUCUCAAUUAAUCAAUUGGAAAUUGAAUAACAUUUUUCCAUGUGUGCUUUACAAUCUAACAUUGUGUUUUUUGUCACUCUACAGCAAUGAAUUAUUUAAUAAUAAAUUAUAAAAAUUGUAACGCACCAGCAUAUCAAUAAAAAAAUUAUUCUAUUGAAAUAAAAUAUAAAUUAAUCAAUUGGCCUCAAGUUCAAAAGUAUACUCGACUAAUUAUUUGUCAUUAGCCAGA